CCAUAUCACGUUGGAAUACCGGUUCUCGUUCGAUCACAGAAAUUAAGUAAUGUUGAGCCUGGUCAGUACUCAGAUGGGUAACCACUGG